CAAUAGCGUAUAUUAAAGUUGUUGCAGUUAAAAAGCUCGUAGUUGGAUUUCUGGAUGGAGCGACCGGUCGGGCAUUAAUUUGUCUGCACUGGAGUCGGUUCCGUCCAUCCUCUUGGAAAGUGCGUGGGGCAUUAAGUUGUCUGGCGUAUGAUCCAAGUCGUUUACUGUGAAAAAAUUAGAGUGUUUAAAGCAGGCCUUCGCCUUGAAUACAUUAGCAUGGAAUAAUAAGAUAGGACUUUGGUCUAUUUUGUUGGUUUGCAGACCGAAGUAAUGAUUAAUAGGGAUAGUUGGGGGUAUUUAUAUUCCGAUGUCAGAGGUGAAAUUCUUAGAUUUUCGGAAGAUAAACUUAUGCGAAAGCAUUUACCAAGAAUGUUUUCAUUAA
rnacentral:rRNA from 1 species